rnacentral:rRNA from 1 species
GGAGUUAGCCGGUGCUUCUUCUGUGAGUGAUGUCCUUCCUGCCGGUUAUUGACCCGCAGGCCUUCUUCCUCACUGAAAGUGCUUUACAACCCGAAGGCCUUCUUCACACACGCGGCAUGGCUGGAUCAGGGUUGCCACCAUUGUCCAAUAUUCCCCACUGCUGCCUCCCGUAGGAGUCUGGGCCGUGUCUCAGUCCCAGUGUGGCUGAUCAUCCUCUCAGACCAGCUACGGAUCGUCGCCUUGGUGAGCCGUUACCUCACCAACCAGCUAAUCCGACAUAGGCUCAUCCGAUAGCGCGAGGCCCGAAGGUCCCCCGCUUUCCCCCGUAGGGCGUAUGCGGUAUUAGCCUGGGUUUCCCCCAGGUUAUCCCCCACUACCGGGCAGAUUCCUAUGCAUUACUCACCCGUCCGCCGCUCGCCACCAGGGAGCAAGCUCCCCGUGCUGCCGCUCGACUUGACAUGUGUUAGGCCUGCCGCCAGCGUUCAAUCUGAACCAAGAUCAAAUUCUGA